rnacentral:rRNA from 1 species
UACAGAGGUCUCGAGCGUUAGGCGGAAUCACUGGGCUUAAAGCGUGUGUAGGCGGCUCGGUAAGUACCUUGUGAAAUCCCACAGCUCAACUGUGGAACUGCUUGGUAUACUGCCAGUCUUGAGCCAGCUAGGGGCUACCGGAACAAAUGGUGGAGCGGUGAAAUGCGUAGAUAUCAUUUGGAACGCCAAUGGUGAAAACAGGUAGCUGGGGCUGUGCUGACGCUGAGACACGAAAGCCAGGGGAGCAAACGGG